AAUGGCGGGCGCCCCUCCCCCAGCCUCGCUGCCGCCCUGCAGUUUGAUCUCAGACUGCUGUGCUAGCAAUCAGCGAGACUCCGUGGGCGUAGGACCCUCCGAGCCAGGUGCAGGAUAAAAUCUCGUGGUGCGCCGUUUUUUAAGACCGUCGGAAAAGCGCAGUAUUCGGGUGGGAGUGACCCGAUUUUCCAGGUAGAGACACUUUUGACUUGAUCUCUGCAGUCCUCAACAUGAGUGUGCUGAGAAAGUUUCCAUUAGGUGGACGUGUCUCUCCGUGGAAUAAAGCCCAAGGCGCAGCUGGCCUCUCAACUCAGGUGAGUGUUUUAACCUUUCCCAAUAGCUUAGGUGAUCCCCUGAGACACACAAACACACAAUGUGCUGCAGGUGAUUUUAAGGGACUAAUAAUAGUAGUGGUAGUAUCAUUUCCACUUUACAAAUGGUACAAAAGGAUUUUGG